rnacentral:rRNA from 1 species
UCGAGCGGAUGAGGGGUGCUUGCACUCUGAUUUAGCGGCGGACGGGUGAGUAAUGCCUAGGAAUCUGCCUGGUAGUGGGGGAUAACGUUCCGAAAGGAACGCUAAUACCGCAUACGUCCUACGGGAGAAAGCGGGGGAUCUUCGGACCUCGCGCUAUCAGAUGAGCCUAGGUCGGAUUAGCUAGUUGGUGAGGUAAUGGCUCACCAAGGCGACGAUCCGUAACUGGUCUGAGAGGAUGAUCAGUCACACUGGAACUGAGACACGGUCCAGACUCCUACGGGAGGCAGCAGUGGGGAAUAUUGGACAAUGGGCGAAAGCCUGAUCCAGCCAUGCCGCGUGUGUGAAGAAGGUCUUCGGAUUGUAAAGCACUUUAAGUUGGGAGGAAGGGUAUUCACCUAAUACGUGAGUAUUUUGACGUUACCGACAGAAUAAGCACCGGCUAACUUCGUGCCAGCAGCCGCGGUAAUACGAAGGGUGCAAGCGUUAAUCGGAAUUACUGGGCGUAAAGCGCGCGUAGGUGGUUCGUUAAGUUGGAUGUGAAAGCCCCGGGCUCAACCUGGGAACUGCAUCCAAAACUGGCGAGCUAGAGUACGGUAGAGGGUGGUGGAAUUUCCUGUGUAGCGGUGAAAUGCGUAGAUAUAGGAAGGAACACCAGUGGCGAAGGCGACCACCUGGACUGAUACUGACACUGAGGUGCGAAAGCGUGGGGAGCAAACAGGAUUAGAUACCCUG